UACAGAGGUCUCAAGCGUUGUUCGGAUUCAUUGGGCGUAAAGGGUGCGUAGGCGGCGCGGUAAGUCGGGCGUGAAAUCUCGGAGCUUAACUCCGAAACUGCAUUCGAUACUGCCGUGCUUGAGGACUGGAGAGGAGACUGGAAUUCCUGGUGUAGCGGUGAAAUGCGCAGAUAUCAGGAGGAACACCAGUGGCGAAGGCGGCUCACUGGUCCGGUACUGACGCUGAGGUGCGAAAGCGUGGGGAGCAAACAGG
rnacentral:rRNA from 1 species